UGACAUAUCUCUUACCGUUUGAGCAUUUAGUUUUAUAUAUUGGAGCAUUCAAAUCUCUGCAGUCCAUUUAUAGCAUCUUGAACAACUCCAUGUCGGCUGUAUAAAAAAUAUCCAUGGGUUGCUGCUGAAUCAACUACUUGUUUAACAUUCAGCUCUUGACGCCAUAGACCAUUUGAUGGUUUUCCACACACGGUAACGCAUGGCAUGUAGGUUACGUUUGCACAACUCUAUAGUUGGUCGGGCUGUUUCAUCGCUCCAACUGGAGUUGCAAAAGCUUGUAUGGAGAGUACAGUCGACUCAAAACAGCCAGCGAAAAACGAGAGAGAAGCUAGCAUAGCGCUCCUAAGGGCGCAGAAGUCCUCUACUUAUUUCCUCCGAAACCUUGCGAGGCAAUUAUGUUGUAGCAAUACAUGAUUACACAGCUGAUACUCACCUCUUGUACUAAUCUAUUUUGCAACAUUUACAUUUUCUUUUUCCAGGGUCCGUUUGAAUCAUUCUACGGUUCAGGAUUAUGUAUGAACCGAGUACCAGGUGGAUGAUGAGGUGCUAAUUUUAAUUCA